rnacentral:rRNA from 1 species
UACAGAGGUGGCAAGCGUUGUUCGGAAUUACUGGGCGUAAAGGGCGCGUAGGCGGCCUCUUUAGUCAGACGUGAAAUCCCCCGGCUUAACCUGGGAACUGCGUCUGAUACUGGGAGGCUAGAGUUCGGGAGAGGGAUGUAGAAUUCCAGGUGUAGCGGUGAAAUGCGUAGAUAUCUGGAGGAAUACCGGUGGCGAAGGCGGCAUCCUGGACCGAAACUGACGCUGAGGCGCGAAAGCUAGGGGAGCGAACGGG